UACGGAGGGUGCGAGCGUUAAUCGGAAUUACUGGGCGUAAAGCGCGCGUAGGUGGUUGUGUAAGUUGGAUGUGAAAGCCCCCGGGCGUUAACCUGGGAACGUGCAUUCAAAACUAGCACGGCUAGAGUACGGGAGAGGGGGGUAGGAAUUCCUGGUGUAGCGGUGAAAUGCGUAGAGAUCUGGAGGAAUACCGAUGGCGAAGGCAGCCCCCUCGGCUGAUACUGACACUGAGGUGCGAAAGCAUGGGGAGCAAACAGGAUUAGAAACCCGGGUAGU
rnacentral:rRNA from 1 species